rnacentral:rRNA from 1 species
UACAGAGGUCCCAAGCGUUGUUCGGAUUCACUGGGCGUAAAGGGUGCGUAGGUGGCAAGGUAAGUCGGAUGUGAAAUCUCCGAGCUCAACUCGGAAACUGCAUUGGAAACUGCUUUGCUUGAGGAUUGGAGGGGGGACUGGAAUGCUUGGUGUAGCAGUGAAAUGCGUAGAUAUCAAGCGGAACACCAGUGGCGAAGGCGAGUCCCUGGACAAUUCCUGACACUGAGGCACGAAAGCUAGGGGAGCAAACAGG